rnacentral:rRNA from 1 species
UACGUAGGGUGCGAGCGUUGUCCGGAAUUAUUGGGCGUAAAGAGCUCGUAGGUGGUUUGUCGCGUUGUUCGUGAAAACCGGGGGCUUAACCCUCGGCAUGCGGGCGAUACGGGCAGACUUGAGUACUGCAGGGGAGACUGGAAUUCCUGGUGUAGCGGUGGAAUGCGCAGAUAUCAGGAGGAACACCGGUGGCGAAGGCGGGUCUCUGGGCAGUAACUGACGCUGAGGAGCGAAAGCGUGGGGAGCAAACAGG